GUGCCAGCCGCCGCGGUAAUACGUAGGUGGCAAGCGUUGUCCGGAUUUAUUGGGCGUAAAGCGAGCGCAGGCGGUUUCUUAAGUCUGAUGUGAAAGCCCCCGGCUCAACCGGGGAGGGUCAUUGGAAACUGGGAGACUUGAGUGCAGAAGAGGAGAGUGGAGUUCCAUGUGUAGCGGUGAAAUGCGUAGAUAUAUGGAGGAACACCAGUGGCGAAGGCGGCUCUCUGGUCUGUAACUGACGCUGAGGCUCGAAAGCGUGGGGAGCAAACAGGAUUAGAUACCCUGGUUAGUCCACGCCGUAAACGAUGAGUGCUAAGUGUUGGAGGGUUUCCGCCCUUCAGUGCUGCAGCUAACGCAUUAAGCACUCCGCCUGGGGAGUACGACCGCAAGGUUGAAACUCAAAGGAAUUGACGGGGGCCCGCACAAGCGGUGGAGCAUGUGGUUUAUUCGAAGCAACGCGAAGAACCUUAACCAGGUCUUGACAUCCCUUGACCACUCUAGAGAUAGAGCUUCCCCUUCGGGGGCAAAGUGACAGGUGGUGCAUGGUUGUCGUCAGCUCGUGUCGUGAGAUGUUGGGUUAAGUCCCGCAACGAGCGCAACCCUUAUUGUUAGUUGCCAUCAUUCAGUUGGGCACUCUAGCAAGACUGCCGGUGACAAACCGGAGGAAGGUGGGGAUGACGUCAAAUCAUCAUGCCCCUUAUGACCUGGGCUACACACGUGCUACAAUGGGAAGUACAACGAGUUGCGAAGUCGCGAGGCUAAGCUAAUCUCUUAAAGCUUCUCUCAGUUCGGAUUGCAGGCUGCAACUCGCCUGCAUGAAGCCGGAAUCGCUAGUAAUCGCGGAUCAGCACGCCGCGGUGAAUACGUUCCCGGGCCUUGUACACACCGCCCGU
rnacentral:rRNA from 1 species